UUCUGCCCUAUCAACUAGUUGGUGAGGUAGUGGCUCACCAAGGUUGUGACGGGUAACGGGGAAUCAGGGUUCGAUUCCGGAGAGGGAGCCUGAGAAACGGCUACCACAUCUAAGGAAGGCAGCAGGCGCGCAAAUUACCCAAUCCAGACUUUGGGAGGUAGUGACGAGAAAUACCGGAGUAGACCAUAAAUUGGUUCACUAUCGGAAUGAACGUAAUUUAAUACCUUCGAUGAGUAGCAACUGGUGGGCAAGUCUGGUGCCAGCAGCCGCGGUAAUUCCAGCUCCAGUAGUGUAUAUCAAAAUUGUUGCGGUUAAAGCGCUCGUAGUUGGAUUACAAAAGCUCUAUGACGGCUAAGUCAAAAGUGUUUGGUCGUUGUGGGGUUUUUUUAUCGCGAGAGCCGUAUGUGGGAUUAAAUUCUUGUGUGCGGUCACUUGCGAAAUGUGCCUUGAAUAAAGCACAGUGCUCAAAGCAGGCGUAAGCUCGAAUGUAAUAGCAUGGAACGAAUAUGUUGAUCAUGUCGACUGUUGGUUGUUGACAUUGGUCUCGAUUAAAAGGGACAUUUGAGGGCGUUAGUACUUGGUGGCGAGGGGUGAAAUCCUUAGACCCAUCAAAGACUAACUAAUGCGAAAGCAUUCGCCAAGAGUGUUUUCAUUAAUCAAGAACGAAAGUUGGAGGUUCGAGGACGAUCAGAUACCGUCCUAGUUCCAUACAGUAAACUAUGCCAACAUGGGAUCAGCCCGGAGCUAUCCAGGUUGGUCCCUCUGCGAAACC
rnacentral:rRNA from 1 species